UCUUCUGUGUGGUUCUUCACCUUCGUAAAACAAUUCCAAACACUUCAACUGCUACAGAUAAACGCCCUGGCUCCUUUUUUUGCUAAUAUUAACAUAUAUAAACAUGGCAGGUAAGUUUGUCCUCUGUGCCAUUUUCAAUAAUUAUUUUCCUUAUAAUGUAUUAUACUUCUGUCAAACUUAAGAAAACACAAAGACUAGAUAAAAAGCUCCCAACAAUCCAACACCAUAACAUCAAAGAAGAGGUGUACAAACAGUAAGAAGCAAACACUCUGUCUUCGUGAUACUAUCAAUGCUAUUUCUAGCGUUUCCACCACAAUUGCCUCAACCCUGCAAUAGCAAAGCAAGGAGAAGCACUCAAAAACUCAAAAAAGAAAAAUAAAUGCAAUGUCCUCUUCAUCUCUUUCUACAUUAAUCCAAAAAUUUCCACUUAAUAUCCAUCAAAACCCUUCAAUAAUCUAAAUCUACAACACCUAAAGGCGUCAAAUAAAAGCUCCCUGGACUUUGUUCUUUUGUUCAUUCAAGCCCUAAUUUCCACUUUAUUUCCAUCAAAUAACUAAAAGAUCUAUUUGCUAAAAAUAAGAUGAAGUGCUAAAAUGCUAACACAUAAAGCAAAUAAACUCAUGUUUCUUUCCAACUCCUUCAAUCCAAAUAUUAUUCUCAGUAACUCAGUAAAAAACAAAGCAUAAACAGAGAAGAAACCAUGAAAAAAAAAGGAAAAUCAGUCUUUGAAGCUUCUACCUAAGCUUUAUCCAUUAAAUGCUCCAGAAAACCCUAAUGUCCUGGCAAAAACGCACGACCAAAGCAAAGAUCUACAAGAAAUAUCAUGAUUUAUUGCCCUUUUCUAUACAUAAACGAAACAAAAUCAAGCUUUGUUCAUGACAAGUCUCAGAGUUCAAAAACACUUCUUGCGUGCAGGACGCAGCAACAGGGUCAUGAAGGAGCCCUUACUGUAGAUGCUCUGCAUCCAUGUAAGAGAGAGAGAAAAUACAGAGGGGCACGAAGAAGCUCUUGUAGGGUUUUUUCCUCCUCUCCCUUCUCUGUGUGCCUCUUCGGCAAAUUCUUUUUUUCUUGCUCAUGAGAGAGAGAGCAGAAGGAGGAGAGGGAAAAGCAGGGAGGAGAGGGAAGAGCGUGAGGAUUAGAGAGAGAUGCCAAGAAAUGUGACUCAAGCCAGAG
rnacentral:lncRNA from 1 species